rnacentral:rRNA from 1 species
UACGUAGGUGGCAAGCGUUGUCCGGAAUUAUUGGGCGUAAAGCGCGCGCAGGCGGUCCUUUAAGUCUGAUGUGAAAGCCCACGGCUCAACCGUGGAGGGUCAUUGGAAACUGGGGGACUUGAGUGCAGGAGAGAAGAGUGGAAUUCCACGUGUAGCGGUGAAAUGCGUAGAGAUGUGGAGGAACACCAGUGGCGGAAGGCGACUCUUUGGCCUGAGUAACUGACGCUGAGGCGCGAAAGCGUGGGGAGCAAACAGG